CGUAGAGAAAUCGAGUCUUAAUAGGGCGUUUAGUUGCUGGGUAUAGACCCGAAACCAGGCGAUCUAUCCAUGAGCAGGUUGAAGGUUGGGUAACACUAACUGGAGGACCGAACCCACUGUCGUUGAAAAGCCAGGGGAUGACUUGUGGAUAGGGGUGAAAGGCUAAUCAAGCCUGGUGAUAGCUGGUUCUCCCCGAAAGCUAUUUAGGUAGCGCCUCGGACGAAUACCAUAGGGGGUAGAGCACUGUUUCGGCUAGGGGGUCAUCCCGACUUACCAAACCGAUGCAAACUCCGAAUACCUAUGAGUACUAUCCGGGAGACAGACUGCGGGUGCUAACGUCCGUAGUCAAGAGGAAAACAAUCCAGACCGCCAGCUAAGGCCCCAAAAUCAUAGUUAAGUGGGAAACGAUGUGGGAAGGCAUAGACAGCUAGGAGGUUGGCUUAGAAGCAGCCACCCUUUAAAGAAAGCGUAAUAGCUCACUAGUCGAGUCGGCCUGCGCGGAAGAUGUAACGGGGCUAAAACUAUGUGCCGAAGCUGCGGAUUUGACAUUAGUCAAGUGGUAGGGGAGCGUUCUGUAAGCCGAUGAAGGUGUAUUGAGAAGUAUGCUGGAGGUAUCAGAAGUGCGAAUGCUGACGUGAGUAACGACAAAACGGGUGAAAAACCCGUUCGCCGAAAGACCAAGGGUUCCAGUCCAACGUUAAUCGGGGCUGGGUGAGUCGACCCCUAAGGCGAGGCCGAAAGGCGUAGUCGAUGGGAAAAUGGUUAAUAUUCCAUUACUUCUGUGUAAUGCGAUGAGAGGACGGAGAAGGCUAAAUCAGCCUGGCGUUGGUUGUCCAGGUGAAAGGAUGUAGGCAUGUAUCUUAGGCAAAUCCGGGGUACUCUAUGCUGAGAUCUGAUAGCAAGCUGUACUUGUACAGCGAAGUGGUUGAUGCCAUGCUUCCAGGAAAAGUCUCUAAGCUUCAGUUACACAGGAAUCGUACCCGAAACCGACACAGGUGGUCAGGUCGAGUAGACCAAGGCGCUUGAGAGAACUCUGCUGAAGGAACUAGGCAAAAUGGUACCGUAACUUCGGGAGAAGGUACGCUGUUGUUGGUGAUGGAACUCGCUUCCUGAGCUGACGACAGCCGCAGAAACCAGGCCGCUGCAACUGUUUAUUAAAAACAUAGCACUCUGCAAACACGAAAGUGGACGUAUAGGGUGUGAUGCCUGCCCGGUGCUGGAAGGUUAAUUGAUGGGGUUAGCGUAAGCGAAGCUCUUGAUCGAAGCCCCAGUAAACGGCGGCCGUAACUAUAACGGUCCUAAGGUAGCGAAAUUCCUUGUCGGGUAAGUUCCGACCUGCACGAAUGGCAUAAUGAUGGCGGCGCUGUCUCCAGCAGAGGCUCAGUGAAAUCGAAAUCGCUGUGAAGAUGCAGUGUACCCGCGGCUAGACGGAAAGACCCCGUGAACCUUUACUGCAGCUUGACACUGAACUUUGACCUUACUUGUGUAGGAUAGGUGGGAGGCUUUGAAGCUGGAACGCUAGUUCCAGUGGAGCCGUCCUUGAAAUACCACCCUGGUAAUGUUGAGGUUCUAACUCUGUCCCGUGAUCCGGGACGAGGACCGUGUCUGGUGGGUAGUUUGACUGGGGCGGUCUCCUCCUAAAGAGUAACGGAGGAGUACGAAGGUGCGCUCAGCGUGGUCGGAAAUCACGCGUAGAGUAUAAAGGCAAAAGCGCGCUUAACUGCGAGACCCACAAGUCGAGCAGGUACGAAAGUAGGUCUUAGUGAUCCGGUGGUUCUGUAUGGAAGGGCCAUCGCUCAACGGAUAAAAGGUACUCUGGGGAUAACAGGCUGAUACCGCCCAAGAGUUCAUAUCGACGGCGGUGUUUGGCACCUCGAUGUCGGCUCAUCUCAUCCUGGGGCUGAAGCAGGUCCCAAGGGUAUGGCUGUUCGCCAUUUAAAGAGGUACGCGAGCUGGGUUUAGAACGUCGUGAGACAGUUCGGUCCCUAUCUACCGUGGGCGCUGGAAAUUUGAGAGGAUCUGCUCCUAGUACGAGAGGACCAGAGUGGACGAACCUCUGGUGUACCGGUUGUGACGCCAGUCGCAUCGCCGGGUAGCUAUGUUCGGAAGGGAUAACCGCUGAAAGCAUCUAAGCGGGAAGCCUACCUCAAGAUAAGAUUUCCCUAGGACUUUAUGUCCUCUAAAGAGCCGUUCGAGACUAGGACGUUGAUAGGUUGGAUGUGGAAGCAUAGUGAUAUGUGAAGCUGACCAAUACUAAUUGCUCGUGAGGCUUGACUAU
rnacentral:rRNA from 1 species